rnacentral:rRNA from 1 species
GAUGAACGCUGGCGGCGUGCUUAACACAUGCAAGUCGAACGAAGCACUUUAUUUGAUUUCCUUCGGGACUGAUUAUUUUGUGACUGAGUGGCGGACGGGUGAGUAACGCGUGGGUAACCUGCCUUGUACAGGGGGAUAACAGUUGGAAACGGCUGCUAAUACCGCAUAAGCGCACAGCAUCGCAUGAUGCAGUGUGAAAAACUCCGGUGGUAUAAGAUGGACCCGCGUUGGAUUAGCUAGUUGGUGAGGUAACGGCCCACCAAGGCGACGAUCCAUAGCCGACCUGAGAGGGUGACCGGCCACAUUGGGACUGAGACACGGCCCAAAUCCUACGGGAGGCAGCAGUGGGGAAUAUUGCACAAUGGGCGAAACCCUGAUGCAGCGACGCCGCGUGGAGGAAGAAGGUCUUCGGAUUGUAAACUCCUGUGUUGAGGAAGAUAAUGACGGUACUCAACAAGGAAGUGACGGCUAACUACGUG